rnacentral:rRNA from 1 species
AAUCAACGCUGGCGGCGUGCCUCAGACAUGCAAGUCGAACGCGAAAGUCCCCUUCGGGGGACGAAGUAGAGUGGCGCACGGGUGAGUAACACGUAGGUAAUCUACCUUUGGAUGGGGAAUAACAAUCGGAAACGGUUGCUAAUACCGCAUAAUGCAGCGGCACCUAAUGGUGACAGUUGUUAAAGCGGGGGAUCGAAAGACCUCGCGUCUAAAGAGGAGCCUGCGGCGGAUUAGCUAGNGGUAAGGUAAUGGCUUACCAAGGCUACGAUCCGUAACCGGCCUGAGAGGGGCGGUCGGUCACACUGACACUGACAUACGGGUCAGACUCCUACGGGGAGGCAGCAGUCGGGG